UGUUUUAGUUCAUGACGAAAUGUGUAUUUUAUUUUAAAAUUGCAGUCUCGUGUAGGGUAUUUGCGAAUUAAUGACUCGUUUAAGUGGAUUCCUUACAAAGUAUUGCAAAUAAAUGAGUCUUUUGAAUCGAUUCUUUACGAAGCAAAUGGGCCAAAAACGGUUUGAAUUGGUUCGCGAAUCAGUUUGAUUUGUUCAGAUCGCUUCAGAAACUGAAUCGUCUGAUGCGGUUUCAUCAAGAAACACGCAGAACAUUGGAUGACGUGAAUAUCAAUCUAAUAUUAAAAGCGAAAACUUCACACGUGUACUCGCCAUAUGUGCGUGCUGUUUGCCGUCAUACACACGUGCGCAACCUCCACAGAAUGACGAAAAUCCACCAAUGAUUGACGUCUGAUUCGCUGCAUACUUUACUUGAAUUCAGCUAUACUUAUCCCCCACACCUCCUUGAAUCUCACAGCGCGCCAUCACUCUGCCAUUCUGCUGCAAUUCACUGUCAGUGUGUUCAAGGAAGUUUGAAAAAAAAAAUGCCCUAACAAAUACAACAACAAGAAGAGAGGCAGAGAAGGCAGUGUCCAAGUGGCUAAUCGGUGCCAGGGACAGGGGAGGUUAUCGCACUGCCAGGGCACGAGUUGGACAACAA